GCAGAAGGCCCGCAUCAGCCAAUCGCGUGCGCUGCAACCAACGUGGGGCGCUGACGCGCUCCUCCCCGGAGCGUAUGGCAGCGCAGCGCCGGACGGGGCGUUCUCCCUCCCCCCCUCCUCUCGCUUCCAUCUCCGCCGUCUCCUCGGUCUCCCUUCCCAUCCCGGCCCCUCCUCCGCCAGCCGCGUCCUCCCGGGCUUGGUGAGGAACUGUUCCUGGAGGAGCCGCGGGACGCCAAAACCAGCCAAUGGGAAGCGGCGAUUCGCGGAGAUUGGCACUGAUGAUGGGAAGCAAUGAUAAGGAAACUAAACUGGAUUAAGUGCUAUCAUCUUGGAGGUGCAAAGGCAAACAAGGAGAAAGAAGUGAUUGAAGAGCACUUCAGAAAGCUUGGUACAUUCAAAUCAGCAGGGCUUGAUUACUCGCAUCCCAGGACACUUAAGGAAUUGGCAAAUAUAAUUGCAAGACCACCAGCCUUUAUUUUAGAAAAUGAAGGUUGGACAGAAGAAGGUCCUGACAAGUAAAAUCAGCAGAUGGAGUACCUGUUUUUUAAAAGAGGGAAAAGGACAGCUGUAGUAAUUAUAGACUAUUCAGUUUAUCUUGGAUACCUGGGAAGAUACAAGAGCAAAUCAUCAAACAAUCAAUUUGCAACCACCUAGAAGAGUACAAGCUACUGGGUCGUAAUCAACGUGAUUUUGUGAAGUGCAAAUUAUGCCACACCAAUUUAAUUUUAUCUAUGAUAGAGUGAUGAGCCUGGCAGAAGAGGGGAAAGCAAUAUCUACAACUGGACUUCAAUAAGGAAUAUUGAUCUCAGCGUUACUUUGACCAUUAAUGAAUUAUGAUGGCAAUAAGCAAAGAUUCGCACCUCUAGCCUCCGGGGAGCUUAAUCUUCUGCUACAACAUUUGCAUUUGCAGUGUUUAAGGAGGAUCCAGGAAUACUUUAAGUGACGCCAGCGUUAGUGUUGCCUCCUCAGAAGACUGCUUUCAGGGGAACAGUAUACAUCUGCCCUGUAAAUUCUGGAUGGUAAAUAUGACAAAAACUCUCUCCUUGACCCAGCUCUAGUGAGACUGCUCUAAGCCCUCUUCUCAACAUGGCUCAACCUUGGGCUUCAGUGUACAUUUUGUUGGGCCUGCAUUGCUCAGUUUUAGCAAGAGUCCAGUUAAGUGAAAGAGAAUCUCACAGCUUUGAUAUCAGAUUCUUCCAUAUCUAAACAAAUUCCUCAUCCCCUACCUUCAAUAUCUGAUCACUCUGCCCUGUUUGCACCAAGAAUCUACCCUCACCCUUGAUGUCUCCUCUUAAUAAUUUUCCAUCCACCAAUCUCUCCCCACUCUUCAAACCUGCUCCUUGGCUAUAAGUCCCUACCCCUUCUUGUCUUAUUUGCAAUAGAGCUCAGUUCUACACUGGGGUCUCUUUUUCCUGAUUGCAAUAGUUCCUGAAUAAAAUCUGUUUUUACCACUUUAUCCACUGUCUAGCUCUGGUUUUCUUUACCAGAAGUCACAGUUAACACAUGCGAAAACCCAUUUGCAAAACAAAUCCACAGGACUCGGUCCAUGUGCUGUGAAGUCUUUGAUUAAGGGCUUAAAAACAAUGAAAAGUAAUAAACGGAUCUGAAUACAAUUCAGGCAAUAAAACACUUUCAUUGGUUUUCAUACUCAGCAAAAGUAUUUUUACUGAUUAAAAGAUAAAUAAUCCUCACUCUACUAACUCAAUG
rnacentral:lncRNA from 10 species